UACGUAGGGGGCAAGCGUUAUCCGGAUUUACUGGGUGUAAAGGGAGCGUAGACGGCGUGCCAAGUCUGAUGUGAAAGCCCACGGCUUAACCGUGGAGGGUCAUUGGAAACUGGUUGACUUGAGUGCAGAAGAGGGAAGUGGAAUUCCAUGUGUAGCGGUGGAAUGCGUAGAUAUAUGGAAGAACACCAGUGGCGAAGGCGGCUCUCUGGUCUGCAACUGACGCUGAGGCUCGAAAGCAUGGGUAGCGAACAGG
rnacentral:rRNA from 1 species